rnacentral:rRNA from 1 species
UACGGGGGGGCAAGCGUUGUUCGGAAUUACUGGGCGUAAAGGGCUCGUAGGCGGCCAACUAAGUCAGACGUGAAAUCCCUCGGCUUAACCGGGGAACUGCGUCUGAUACUGGAUGGCUUGAGAUUGGGAGAGGGAUGCGGAAUUCCAGGUGUAGCGGUGAAAUGCGUAGAUAUCAGGAGGAACACCGGUGGCGAAGGCGGGUCUCUGGGCAACUACUGACGCUGAGGAGCGAAAGCGUGGGGAGCGAACAGG